AACAGUCUGCGGGGUUCGCCACCGAGUUAAGAUAAUUGAGCCUUAUGCCGUCAAUUAGGGAGACCGAUGCCGCACAUUUCGGCCAGUGCAAUCCUUCAAAGCUAAGGAAUUGCCGGAGGCCGCGGCUUAAACCUUAGGUCACCCACCUGUGAGAGCAGGUUCAAUUACGGCUUCGGAGCGGCCACGGCGGAUUUCCC
rnacentral:other from 1 species